GGACCUCCAAUCAAGCAGGNGCA
rnacentral:rRNA from 1 species